CUUUUGUGCAUCCUCGCGACUAAUGACAAAGCUCACGUCCCGAUACUCAGGGCGGAUAAGGUUUCUCAUUAGCCGCGCGAAUCGUGCAAAUAAAGAUCACUCACAGUAACAAUACAUGAGUUUUAACAGAAAUACUGCCAGUCACCCAAAAAAAGGGGCCGUAAAGGCCCCCUUUU
rnacentral:sRNA from 1 species